rnacentral:rRNA from 1 species
AGUCUUAAUUGGGCGUUAAGUUGCAGGGUAUAGACCCGAAACCCGGUGAUCUAGCCAUGGGCAGGUUGAAGGUUGGGUAACACUAACUGGAGGACCGAACCGACUAAUGUUGAAAAAUUAGCGGAUGACCUGUGGCUGGGGGUGAAAGGCCAAUCAAACCGGGAGAUAGCUGGUUCUCCCCGAAAGCUAUUUAGGUAGCGCCUCGUGAAUUCAUCUCCGGGGGUAGAGCACUGUUUCGGCUAGGGGGCCAUCCCGGCUUACCAACCCGAUGCAAACUGCGAAUACCGGAGAAUGUUAUCACGGGAGACACACGGCGGGUGCUAACGUCCGUCGUGAAGAGGGAAACAACCCAGACCGCCAGCUAAGGUCCCAAAGUCAUGGUUAAGUGGGAAACGAUGUGGGAAGGCCCAGACAGCCAGGAUGUUGGCUUAGAAGCAGCCAUCAUUUAAAGAAAGCGUAAUAGCUCACUGGUCGAGUCGGCCUGCGCGGAAGAUGUAACGGGGCUAAACCAUGCACCGAAG